AUUGAACGCUGGCGGCAGGCCUAACACAUGCAAGUCGAACGGUAACAGGGAUCAGCUUGCUGAUUCGCUGACGAGUGGCGGACGGGUGAGUAAUGUCUGGGAAACUGCCUGAUGGAGGGGGAUAACUACUGGAAACGGUAGCUAAUACCGCAUAACGUCGCAAGACCAAAGAGGGGGACCUUCGGGCCUCUUGCCAUCGGAUGUGCCCAGAUGGGAUUAGCUAGUAGGUGGGGUAACGGCUCACCUAGGCGACGAUCCCUAGCUGGUCUGAGAGGAUGACCAGCGACACUGGAACUGAGACACGGUCCAGACUCCUACGGGAGGCAGCAGUGGGGAAUAUUGCACAAAGGGCGCAAGCCUGAUGCAGCCAUGCCGCGUGUAUGAAGAAGGCCUUCGGGUUGUAAAGUACUUUCAGCGGGGAGGAAGGGAGUAAAGUUAAUACCUUUGCUCAUUGACGUUACCCGCAGAAGAAGCACCGGCUAACUCCGUG
rnacentral:rRNA from 1 species